AUUUAUUUAGGAUUUAUUUAGAAUUUAGGAUUUGUCUAGGAUUUGUUUAGAAUUUAGGAUUUUUCUAGGAUUUGAUUUAAGAUUUAAGCUUUCUUAAAGAUUUGGUUUAGGAUUUAGAAUUUGAUUUAGAGUUUAGGAUUUGAUUUAAGAUGUAAGAUUUUUUUAGGAUUUGGUUUAAGAUUUAGGAUUUAUUUAGGAUUUAAUUUAGGAUUUAGAAUUUUUUUAGGAUUUGGUUUAAUGUUUAGGAUUUAUUUGGGAUUUGAUUUAGGAUUUAGGAUUUCUCUAGGAUUUGAUUUAGAAUUUAGGAUUUGUCUAAGUCUUGGUUUAGGAUUUAGGAUUUGUCCAAGAUAUAAUUUAGGAUUUAGAAUUUAUUUAGGAUUUGAUUUAGAAUUUAAGAUUUCUUUAGAAUUAAGAAUUUGACAUAGGAUUUGAUUGAAGUCCAUUAGAAUUUCAAUUAAGUUAAAUUAAGAAUUAAUUGAGAUUUAUUUAAGAUAUAUUUGUGAUUAUUUUAAUAUUUCUUUAGGAUUUUUUAAAGGUUUUUUUAAGGUUUAUUAUAGAUUUUUUUUUGAAUUCUUUUAAGAUUUUUUAUUUAUCCUUUGUAAUUUCUUUAAGAUUUCUUUUGAAUUUGAUUAAAGCUUUUUAGCAUUGUUAAGGAUUUAAUUAGAGUUAUUUAAUAGUUUAUUAGAAUUAAAAUUUUGCUGUAAUAAUUUUUAUUCUACAUUCCAUAUCAACGUACCUAAUACAUUCUCAAGCAAAAUUUCAUGUAAUAUGAUAUUAGACGAGAUAU
rnacentral:lncRNA from 1 species